GAGAUCGCGCUGAUGUCUGUCUGCAGUCAACUUUUAAAGCCCAAGCCUCUCAAAGCAAUUGAUAUCAUCGGUGUAAAUAUUGACGAUUCUUCAUGCGCGUUUUGUGAGAUAUCUGUCGAAACUUUGGCCAAUUUUCUACGUUGUGAGCUUCACUCUACGGACGCAGUUGAACGGGCAUGUUUCAUAUGCCCAACGGAUAGUUGAGAAUGCUUUUACCGUGUUUCACGGGAAAUGAUGCUCUCUAACCUGCCAACGUCAGCCCCUGAAUCCACCGGUUUCCUCUAGAUUGCGCUCGUCGUUGGUCGUCGAGCCCCCCAUGAUCCAGCAGCCCGCUCCCCCCGCGGGCUCUCUCGGCGCGACCGCCGCCGGCCAGCAGGCGCUGCUCUGCCCCGCCCCCAUGUACAGCUCGGCCUACUACCGGGCCCCCGUGCCGGUGC